GGUUAAGCGACUAAGCGUACACGGUGGAUGCCCUGGCAGUCAGAGGCGAUGAAGGGCGUGCUAAUCUGCGAUAAGCGCCGGUAAGGUGAUAUGAACCGUUAUAACCGGCGAUACCCGAAUGGGGAAACCCAGUGUGAUUCGUCACACUAUCAUUAACUGAAUCCAUAGGUUAAUGAGGCGAA
rnacentral:rRNA from 2 species